UGUAUAAUCCGUGUUUUUAAAGCACCGUUUGCUGUGAAAUCUACCCACUUCGCGAUUACGGCUAUCAGGGAAUCCAGCGCUUGCUAAGGGCACUUAAUUAGUCACGUUGUUUCGGCACAACGAAUAAGGCUGCGCAUCUCGGGUGUGGGGGUGACGGCCGAGCCACCCUGAUCUAGUUUUUAUUUAUUUACUUAUUUAUUUUAUACGGAAGCGAAAGCGUGGGCAGUUUAGAGGGGCGACCCCCACAGGGCAGGUAUGCCGAAUAACGCGCAGGAAUUCCCGCGGAUCCCCGAAGGCGGCUCCCGUAACACCGCGCCACUGGCUGCUAGCGCCCAGCCCGCUAUACUUUACUUGACCCGUUAUUUCACCAGAGUGGUUUCCAAACAAUGAAUCAGAAGCGCGACCUCGGUCCUGGUGCCUUGUUUGCACAUUGGACUAGCAGAUGGGAGGCUGAUUCCUGGCCACCAGUAAGGCUGAACUGAUACGCAGGCCUGUUAUAAGCUGCUGAGAAAGGACCAGACCCGUGUUUGUUAUGCAAUACUGCGUGGGCAUUUCAAAAGAAUGUGUAUAUAUAGUACACUUAAAGGAACGGAAUGACAGGCAGUGCUGCAGCUUUAAGCUCUGCUUUCUCGCGGUUACCCUAAAAGGCUGCGAGCCUCACCACCACAGGAACAAAGGUCGAAGCUCAUCUACACAUUGCGGAUCAUCGACAUACCGUGGGCUACCAGCCACCAUCCUUCCUAGACUCUACUCAAGAGUAGGCCAACGUUGCUGGGAGACAAUAUACAUCCACUGACGACGGAUGGAAACUUGACCUUUUCGGCUCAAUUGGGUCGAGAAAAGGUAGCGAAG